UUGUAGCUUGGUCUAUAUCUGUACUUCAUUAAACCAGUUGUAGCUUGGUCUAUAUCAAUACUUCAUUAAACCAGUUGUAGCUUGGUCUAUAUCUAUACUUCAUUAAACCAGUUGUAGCUUGGUCUAUAUCUAUACUUCAUUAAUCCAGUUGUAGCUUGGUCUAUAUCUAUUAAACCAGUUGUAGCUUGGUCUAUAUCUGUACUUCAUUAAACCAGUUGUAUUUUGGUCUAUAUCAAUACUUCAUUAAACCAGUUGUAUUUUGGUCUAUAUCAAUACUUCAUUAAACCAGUUGUAUUUUGGUUAAUAUCUGUACAGUGAUAGCAGCAUACAGCAGUGAUAUCAGACUAGAGGUAGAGGUUAGCAGCAUACAGCAGUGAUAUCAGGCUAGAUGUUAGCGGCAUACAGCAGUGAUAUCAUGCUAGAGGUAGAGGUUAGCAGCAUACAGCAGUGAUAUCAGGCUAGAUGUUAGCAGGUUAGCGGCAUACAGCAGUGAUAUCAGGCUAGAGGUAGAGGUUAGCAGCAUACAGCAGUGAUAUCAGGCUAGAGGUAGAGGUUAGCAGCAUACAGCAGUGAUAUCAGGCUAGAUGUUAGCAGGUUAGCAGGAUACAGCAGUGAUAUCAGGCUAGAGGUAGAGGUUAGCAGGUUAGCAGCAUACAGCAGUGAUAUCAGGCUAGAUGUUAGCAGGUUAGCAGGAUACAGCAGUGAUAUCAGGCUAGAGGUUAGCAGCAUACAGCAGUGAUAUCAGGCUAGAUGUUAGCAGGUUAGCAGCAUACAGCAGUGAUAUCAGGCUAGAUGUUAGCAGGUUAGUAGGAUACAGCAGGGAUAUCAGACUAGAGGUAGAGGUUAGCAGCAUACAGCAGUGAUAUCAGGCUAGAGGUAGAGGUUAGCAGCAUACAGCAGUGAUAUCAGGCUAGAGCCAAGACAGUCUGUUAGGUUUAGUCUGCUGAACACCUUCAUCUCACGGUGAAUGCAGUCAUAGAACUAGAUCUUCUGUAAAACAUCACCUUGAUGUAUUUUACUUUAAUUAUCAAGGUCUUCUAUGCUCCCCAGUCUCAGUCGGUGGAUAGUUUUCGUUAGUUAGCUACUAACCAGUUAAAAUGUGAUUGUGUGUAACGGCUGUGUGAAGAAGUAGACCAAGGUGCAGCGUGUUGAGUGAUCAUAUUUCAUUUUAAUCGAGACACUUUG
rnacentral:lncRNA from 1 species